GCGCCGUAUGGGGGGGAAAAGUUAGGAAGAUUCCAAGGGCCCACGACUUGAUAGGGGCCCAUUGAGAUAUAAAAAUAUAUAAGAAAAUUAUUAAGCAUUAUCUAGAAAUAAUAGCUAUUUUUUCAAGUAUAAUGAGAAAAUGUAGCAGUAAAAUAAAUUGCCACUCUGUUCUAACUUAUUUUUCAGUAGUAAAAUGAUAAAAAAAAAAAAUUGUUAUUGACGGCCACCUCCAUAAAACUAAAUGGUUUGGUCCUGGCUGUAAUAGCGCAUCAGUUUGAAUAAACCUGUCGGAAGCAUCGAAUAUUAAAAAUGCAGCGAGGGAAAAAUAAGUCGGGUUUUCAAAAAAGGAGAGAGCGAAAGGAGCGAAAUGAAAGACAGAAGAGAGGAUGCCAAUAUGUGACCCAUUUUUUCACCAAGAAAGAUGAGCCAGCAGCAGCCCCAUCUCCACAUAACCCGUCCCCCACCUGUC